rnacentral:rRNA from 1 species
GAUGAACGCUAGCGGCAGGCCUAAUACAUGCAAGUCAAGGGGCCCAGCAAUGGGCACCGGCGGACGGGUGCGUAACGCGUACACAACAUACCUUUAAGUGGGGGAUAGCAUUGGGAAACUGGUGGUAAUACCCCAUAAUAAUAUUGGGCGGCAUUUCCUGAUAUUUAAAGCUCCGGCGCUUAGAGAUUGGUGUGCGUCCGAUUAGCUAGUUGGUGGGGUAACGGCUCACCAAGGCGACGAUCGGGAGGGGGUGUGAGAGCAUGACCCCCCACACGGGUACUGAGACACGGACCCGACUCCUACGGGAGGCAGCAGUAAGGAAUAUUGGACAAUGGAGGGAACUCUGAUCCAGCCAUGCCGCGUGAAGGAUGAAGGCGCUCAGCGUUGUAAACUUCUUUUGGAUGGGAACAAUAACUUCUACGUGUAGGAGCUUGAGGGUACCAUCAGAAUAAGCACCGGCUAACUCCGUGCCAGCCGCCGCAGUAACAC